rnacentral:lncRNA from 1 species
AAUUUUGCACAGCUAAUAUAUCUAUGAUGGAGACUUGUGCUAUGAAAAUAGUUUAAGGAACACUUGCAAAAAUAUAACAAAUAGGAGGGUUAGAAUUGCAAUUUAGUUUGAUUUUUCUUAUUUCUAUUUAGUUUCACUUAGUACAAGCACAGUCAUAUACAUACUCCAAAGUAUGGUGUAGCAGUUGGUGAGUCUACAUUCUUAUUCAAUUUGAUUUUCUUUAUCAAACUUGAGAU